rnacentral:rRNA from 1 species
CCUACGGGAGGCUGCAGUGGGGGAUAUUGCACAAUGGGGGGAACCCUGAUGCAGCGACGCCGCGUGGGUGAAGAAGCGCCUCGGCGCGUAAAGCCCUGUCAGCAGGGAAGAAAAUUACGGUACCUGAAGAAGAAGCCCCUGCUAACUCCUUGCCAGCAGCCGCCGUAAUACGUAGGGGGCAAGCGUUAUCCGGAUUUACUGGGUGUAAAGGCGGCGGAGACGGCGAUGCAAGCCAGGAGUGAAAGCCCGGGGGCCAACCCCGGGACUGCUCUUGGGACUGCGUGGCUGGAGUGCAGGAGGGGCAGGCGGAAUUCCUGGUGUAGCGGUGAAAUGCGUAGAUAUAAGGAGGAACACCGGUGGCGAAGGCGGCUUGCUGGA